rnacentral:misc_RNA from 1 species
GCUAUCAUAAGGUUGAGUGAGGCUUUUGCUAAAUUGAAACUGUAAGUAUUGCUGUGAAACAUGAAGCAUUGAAUUAUUGCUUAGAAUGUGGUACAAGAUAUCAUUUGAAUUAGAAUAUGAAUAAAAAAUUUGUUGAUUCAUGUGACUAUUUACAGAAAGCAAAAAUAAUUUAACUUGACUACAUCAAUUUGUUAGGGGUCCAUUUGUGCAGUGUACCUGGGAUUUCUUUUGUAAUUACUUGUGUGUGGUUGUCUUUUCAGAAACUUGUCUCAAAUGUAAUUUAAUGGUGAUCUCAUCAAGAAUAGAAUUCUAAUUUUGAAUUCCUUGGAGGAUCAUGGGGCAUUAUAUGAAAAUUGAAUUGAUGAUAUGUUUAGUAAAACUUAUUACAUCAAUUCUAUAUGUCACAGAAAUGGUGGUAUCAUAUUGAUUGAUUACCAAGUUCUUGUCAUGCAACAUGACAUGACUAAUUGACCUGGAUCUGUAAAUCCUAUUUAGAGCAAGUGAAGCCUAUCAAUCCAUUCACAGAAAAUUAUUGUAUGUUUCAUCACGCCAGAGCAUUUCUUCUAAAGAUGAAUAAUUUGAUCUUUCAGUGCCUAGGGAUUGUCUAAACUUCAUUUUUGUUUCCUCUGGAUUUAAAAAAUUUUUCCUGAUAGGUUGUUAACUAUGAAGCACGGAAACAGCACUGGGUCACG